rnacentral:rRNA from 1 species
GGUGGAGUCGCUAGUAAUCGCGGAUCAGCAACGCCGCGGUGAAUGCGUUCCCGGGCCUUGUACACACCGCCCGUCAAGUCAUGAAAGUGGGCAGCACCCGAAGACGGUGGCCUAACCCUUGUGGGGGGAGCCGUCUAAGGUGAGGCUCGUGAUUGGGACUAAGUCGUAACAAGGUACC